AUGAAGCUGGAAUCGCUAGUAAUCGCAGAUCAGCAUGCUGUGGUGAAUACGUUCCCGGGCCUUGUACACACCGCCCGUCACACCAUGGGAGUCGGUAACACCCAAAGUUGGUAGUCUAACCGCAAGGAGGACGCCGCCUAAGGUGGGAUUGAUGACUGGGGUGAAGUCGUAACAAGGUAAC
rnacentral:rRNA from 1 species